AUGGUUAUGUCGAGGUAAUCAUGGAGCACGCGAGUAUGUAGAAAUAUACACGUAAAAUCGAAAAUUUCAAAUUUCUCCAGAUCUAAUAAGUGGUUGGACAUUUCUGAUACCUAGCAUACAUUAAUUGCAUUAAUAUACUUACUAGACAGCGUAAAGAUUGUUCAAUAACGUGUAUUACAUCUAUGUAUUUGAGCAUCAUGACUGUUUCGAGGAAAGAGCAAGGCGCAAUCUUCGAUAUUAUCUGAAUGGAAUGAGUAUUUAUAAGCAAAUCUGGAUAGCGAAUUGACACAAUCUGGGAAGAGACAGACUCAGUGUAUAUGGGCUGUUGUGUUUAUUCAUCUUCCAUGAGAGGAAUACAACUGCUUGUGUGAUUACAUUAUGAUUAUUUCAACAUGUUCCUGCAGAGGAUAUCUAAAACUCCCUCAAUUCUAUACUUCCUUAAGUAUUUUGCUAAUUCUUUUUCAAGUAAAUUAUUGUAUAAUACCACAAGCUAGCCAAGAGGAUUUAUUACAUUCAUUCAAAAGCUACUCUGAUGUAGCGAUGUUUCGUUAUACUGUACCAAAAGAAGUACUAAGAGCUACAUGGCAAUUUGCUGCAUUUAUGGAUGAUCCAAGUUGUCAACCUCGGAAAGUAUACAUACACUUAAGGUUUGGUAGUUAUCCAAUUAUAUCCACAAACAAUGAAUCAUUUUUCACAAAAAAUGAAUCAUUUCUCACAAAUAUGCAUAUCGAAAACAACCAUGAUAUCAUAAUUACUACUAUGACAAGUUAUCAAUCAAAACAUCCAAUUAUUGUGCCAAUUUAUGGACCUGAAGCUGGGGAUUGGUUUGUGGGAACUUACAUGUCUCCAUGGGAUCAAAGAGUGCAACAGCAAGGUUUAGGACACAUAUGCCAAUACAGUAUAGGUACAGUAACUUUAUGGUCACAAGUAGACAGUAUUAAAAAUAUUCCUAUCGGUUACAAAGUAACAUUGCAAACAAGUGGGACGAUAACAUACUACAAAAUAUACAUCCCCUCAGAGACAUGGGCUUUCCGUUUGUCUAUCUGGAACUGCAGUUUUACUUUGCACAGUUAUCACGAUAUUCGUGAGCCUUGCAUCGGAAGCGUAUCCUUAAAGGGACGUGCUUUACCGACUUCCAACUAUUCUCAUCCUGAGGAGUCUAUAAGUUUGACUACAAAUACUAGUUAUACAUUUGUAGAAAUGUCUCCUUAUGAAGAUAGCUACUAUUACUUAUCGAUAAUUUCUAAUAGUGUCAUAGAGUUCGACGUUAAAGUCACUGUAUCAGAAUGUCCCAUCAGAGUGAUAGAAAAAUAUUUCAACAGAGAAUAUAUCAAUGCCGCCGUAAGCUUUAAUUCCAUAACAGGAUCAAAUACCAAAGAUUCCGUAAGACAGGUACAACGUUAUGAAGAAAACAGUACCAAUAGCAAAUAUGUGUUUUACAAAAAUCAAUCUUACCAAAGAAAUAAGAAACCUGAUACUGGAGACGUUUGUAUGCCACGUCAUCAAUUGGUUCGUGUAAAACAUACUAAGGCGUUUUCGACCGUCUAUUUCUUACAGGGGAAUGAAUGGCUAAGUUCGCGUCUGAUGUUAAUGGAUUCGGUCCCAAUCAUGAUACAAUUCAAUAUUUUGCCAUUAAUAGAUACUGGUGGCACGCUUGAUAUCAGUGUGCAUUUAGAAGCGGAAAAGCUGACACCGAAAGUAUUAAUAUUGAUAAUAUUAUGCGUCCAGAGAGGUCGUAUACCAAAAUUCGACGAGUUCAACCACUCCUGUCAAAAUGGUGCGUUAUCAAUGAAUUUGUCUUCAUUCGAUAAACAUAACGCGAGUUUGUUAAUAGCGUAUCCACAACCAGAUGUAUGGUAUAUUAUUAUCGAUACGAUAUGUUACGAUUAUGGCAAUUCGGCGCAUUGCCAAUUUGAGGAUGUUUCCAUGUUGUUGAACGUGCACACCAAAAAGUGCGUGUUUUCCGAUCCAAGUCCUUGUGGUGAUCACGGUGUAUGCCGAGAAAUUCAGCGGAACAAUCUUCACUACACAACAUGCAAUUGCUUCGAAGGUUACGCGGGGUAUGAUUGUACCGAAGUUGUAAACACCACUGCCGCCAUUUUAUCCGUCCUGAGUGUCACGAUGCUUACUUUAAGCAACGCUUUCUUUAUACCAGCCAUUUAUUUAGCCGCAAAACGAAAACUAUACGCGGAGGGAUUGGUAUACUUGGCCACCAUGUUGUUUUCGUCCUUUUAUCACGCCUGUGAUCAGAAUAACGGAGGUUUCUGCAUCAUAAAGUGUUACAAUAUAGCGACUUUUUUUCGAGCAUUCUUGCAUUUUGGGUAACACUGGUGGCGAUGGCGAAGUUGACUAGCAAGUUCGCGUCGAUGUGCCAUAUGACAGGAGUGUUCGUCAUCAUGACAGCAGUGCAGGUCAAUAAAAUGUGUCUCAUCAGCAUACUAGUGCCGCUAUCGAUGGGUAUUCUUAUACUUAUUUUUAUGUAUAUUUAUCGCAAUUUUCAUGCUGAAAAAUGGGAGAAGCCGAAAGGCAAGACGAUAAUAGGUCUGUUGCUCGCUAUAACAGGCAUGUUGCUUUAUUCCUUCGCCGAAACCGAGA
rnacentral:misc_RNA from 1 species